rnacentral:lncRNA from 1 species
GAAUAGAAAGUUCCGAAACAAUAUCGGAAGUCAUAAAACAAUGUAGAGAGAUAUUGCCGGAUGUCAUGAAAGAGUGAAGAAAGUCGUAAAACAGAACAGAAAGUCAUGAAAAAAUACCGAAAGUCAAGAAACAGCGUCGAAAGUCAUAAAAUAUUAAUAGAGUUCAUGAAAUGGUGAAUCAAAUAGGAAACUGUGUUGGAAGUCAUAAAUUAAUAGAGAAAGUCAUAAAAUAAUGGCGUCAAUUGUCAUAAAAUAAUAUCAAAAUUGAUAAAAUAGUGGAAGAAUUGAUAAAAUAGUACCGAAAGUCAUGAAACAGUAUCGAAAGUCAUAAAAAAUUAGCAGAAGUUAUAAAAUAGUGGUGGAUGUUAAAAAAUAGUAGAGAGAGUCAUAAAAUUAAUGUAGCAAUAUAUCAAACAUUACUGAAAGUCAUAAAAUAGUGCGAAAAGUAAUAACACAGAAUGGAAAGUGAUAAAACAGUACAGAAAAUCAUAAAUAUUAGAGGAAGUCAUAAAAUAAUGAAAAAAAUCAUAAAAUGGUGCACGAUAUCAGAAAAUAGUAGAAAAAUUGAUAAACCGAUGUCGAAAGUCAUAAAAUAAUGUAGAGUUUCAUAAAAGAAUGCCGGAUGUCAUGAAAUAGUGAAGAA